rnacentral:lncRNA from 1 species
AACCCAAGCGGGUCGUCUGAUCCUACCCGCCGGUGGAGACCACUGUCGAGGCCGUUUGUGACGGGACGAUCCCCCCCGGUCACACACGAAGGUGGUUUCUUCUGCCCGCGCCUCCUGAUCAGGUACGUUCAUAGGGCUUUGUACUUCUGUUGAUCAUUCCUCGGCCGUUGCUCCUGCUAAAAUUGCUCCCGUCACGCGUCGGGCAUAGAGGUUCUUAUUAGGGCAAGUAAUUCUGCGAGAUGGAUGAACCCUGUGUUUCUAAGUGCAAGCUCGUCCGAUAGGCCGUGAUCCUUCUUCUGCCCUGUGGUUGUCUUCUAGGAUAUGCUGGUUUUGGACGACCAUGUGAUAGAACAUUUGGUGUAGAGGAAGGACCAAGCCUUCACAAGGAAAUAAAAUAUUGAGCAAAGUAGGAAAACCCUCACGUUAUUCGAAUAUACGAUGAAGCCGAUGAAGGGAGUAAUAUAAAAUUUUGAUAUGUUUCCCCUUUGACUGGGGUGUCGUCGUGUCGGGGAUUCUAUGAAAGCCAUUGAAAGUUGACUAUUUUUUUUUCUUGGCUUGAAUUGCCUCGUUUCUUACGUCAGCAAAGUCGUACUUCGACAAUAUCAGUUUCGCCCUUCUUCCUGACUCUUUCCCAAGUCUGGAGGCAUCAUGGAGGAUCAGUGCCUGGUUACAUUAGCUGAGAGUAUUCAGUGAGAAAUAUGGGUUUUUACUUCGCAAUGGACCUCAUGUCUGGCUCCGUCUUGCAUAACUUGGAGCAAUAAUAUGGCAGAUAGAUUGGUAUUAGAAAGUUGCGAUUGGAUUUAUCCCUAGGUGGUCUCAAGGCUUUUUCGUGAUGAUGGGAAUGAUUUAAUUGCUUUGUACGUUAUGGAUAUUUGAUUGGAUUAUCACGUGGACUAGUCUAUUUGAGAAUUCACAAUCCACUGGGUUUCUGUACCUGUAAAAGAGGUGACAGAUAUUCACCACUGUUCAAUUUAAGUAGGUGUGAAAAUCAAUUCACUCUUCUAUAAUACUUAUCCUGCAUAUCGAUGCAGAACUCAUAUGUUUUUUCAUAUUGUGUGAAAUUGAAAAGAAGGUGUACUGCCGGAUAAUUAAAAAAAAUUGAAAAACAGAAAGAGAAAGAUUCGUGAGUUUUAAAUAUUGCUUGUUGAAUUCUUGCCACAGAUAUGAUCCUGUGUGGAUUUUAUCUCUCAGUCCAUGAUCUUCUGCCUUUUUAUUGCAUAACUAAAUUUUUAUCAUAUAAAUAGUUUAUUUUAUUCUAUGGUGGGAUAGACAAACCAUGGUAAUGUAACUAAUCUCUUCUAGCUAUAAUUUUCAGGAUUUGCGUUUCUCUUUCUCGUACAAAUGGCAGCAUUAAUAUCUCCAUCAAAUUUAGCACUUCUUUCGCUUUCAAUAUCACCCAGGAGUGCUUUAGGUAGGAAGUCCUCAUUUAUGUGAGAUGUUGUGUUUUACUAUCAACUUUGAUUCCUUUUUGUGUUUCAUUUUUAUGAUUUGACUUUUGUAUUUUUGAAUUUAGCAUGUAUUCUGAAAUGCUCGUAAAUAUCGGUAUUGCUAUUUUAUGCGAGGUGCUUGAAGGGCAUAACUUAUGUGGUUUUGAUAUUAUUUAUUUUAUUGAUUGAAAAUUGCAAUAGCCAAUCUUCGUGAUGCAGUUUUACUUUAAUUCUCACCGUUAACUAAAAAUAAACUUCAUCUCCCAUUGAUUGAGUGGUGAUAAUACUUUUUGUAUGUUGAAAAAAUGCCAUGGUAUUUUGUAAGAUGGACAAGUACUUAAACCAUCUGCGAAAACCCUAAGCCUCAUUUCACUGAACAUGAUAGUGAUCAGGAAGGGUAGUAACAACCUGAUGACAUACCCAAGUGAAGGAAGAAAAUAUGCAUCUCUCUUAAACAUUUAUUGCUGUAGGAAACAUCUGUUAUGAAAUCACGUAUGUUUGGAGCCAAGAGGUUCCUAUGUUAGCAUAAGUGAGGCUGUUUUCAGAAAUGCACCAUCAUUCCAUCUUUUUUUUGGGCUGGGGUGGUGGUGGUGUGGCUUGGCUUGUGAUGCUUGAAACCGGAAACCUCUGUAAAAAAAAAAAGGGUCUAGUGAGUUGGAAUUAUCAGCGAGAGGUGCUGUAAACCACCCCCCACCACACCACCCUUUAAAUGAUGGAUCUUAUUUUUCACAGACAUGCUUUUAUUUUAUUUCCCAGUAGAACAGAACGAUAUGUUUGCAGGACCGGAGGAGAAACUAUUCUUGAGAUUUGAUCAUGAGUAGCUAAUGAUGCUCAUAAACAAGCUAGAAUCUUAACGCAUGAUGUAUGGUGUGUUGAUUUCCGUUUGAUGAUGUUAACAAAUUUUUGGUCUUGGCUCUCAUGUAUGCGUGGGCUAUGCAUGGUUUUACUUUUUUGAAAACAUGAAUCCUUUACUUACCUGAUAUGAACUCUGUAUCUUACAUCAUUUUCUGUGUCGCACAGCUUCCAUGGUUUCCAUCUAAAAUAUGGAUUGCAUCAUCGCCAUACGAUCAUAGUGUCAAGCCAUGUACAUGGAUAACUACUUAGCUCAGAAUGAUUCGAUAAAUAUUUUUUGCCGUUGAGAUUCUUUUUUUCUCAUCUCAAUGAAUCUGCAGAUAAGUGUCAGGGUGGAAGGGUCAAACAUGCAGGAUCUGGUGCUCUAGUCUCAUGUCUAAGAUGCGAAGCAUUUCACAGCAGACAACCCACCAUCGCAAGAACACUUCAACCACGUGCUUCGGCAUUGGUAUGCGCAUCUGCUGCUUUGGUGAGUGGUUUUCUGUAUUUUUCUCUUUCAAUGAGGAAGUUCAAUUGACAGUAAUUGUGAUCUUAAAUUCAUCAUAUUAAUAUGAUCAAACAUCAAAUUGUUAAUAUAUAUUUAGUAGGGUGCAUGAAGGCCACUUGUUUAUGCUGCAGAAUGCGCGAUGUGCUGCAGAACAGACACAGACUGUUACACGCCAAUCAUCAACGAUCACUAUCGCUCCUAUCCAAGGUACCGCCCUAUAAACCCUCUGGAAAAAUGCAAGUGAGUAGAUUCCAUCACGUUGUUGUAUAAGGUGAUUUUUUAAAUGGAAGCUGAAAAUAAAUCAAUGUCUACUUCAGGCAAGGAGAAGUCUCCCGAGCUUGAUGAUGGGGGCUCUGGGUUUCCCCCACGUGAUGACGACGAUGGUGGUGGCGGCGGCGGGGGCGGUGGGCCCGGAUGGUCUGGUGGUUUCUUCUUCUUCGGUUUCCUCGCUUUCCUUGGAUUCUUGCAGGACAAAGAGAGGGAAGGAGAUUACAGGGACCGAAAGAAAAAAUACAGUUAUUAAGUCCGCCCAUCCCCUUUGAUCUAUACAUAUUCCAUGAAGGCUGCUGUUGUCUCAGUGUAUCCAGCUGUAGUAGGGCUUUUACGUGAUCUUCAGUGAGUUGUUUUAUGGCUCCAGUGUGGUCUUUCAUCCGCGAGCAAGUCCCUUUUAUCCUUUCCCUGACUACUAUGGACUAUAUAAAUAGAAAUGAUCUGAUGUGCCCAAUCAAAAACGUCAGCAAAACGCACUCAAAAUUUUCGAAUGUCCAAAUGCUAUACUGGGAUUCGCCACUUUUCAGCUGCCUUAUUUAGUUUGAUUCCUGAGAACCUCAUCGAUCUUUUUACUCGCACGAGUUGAUUUCACGGUGGCGGCAGACUAGUACUUACUGUUUUUAAUCUGUUAAACUUUGCUGGUUGGCACCUGAAGCGGUCAUGAUUAAGCAG